AUGAUGCAAAUUGGACAUAUCAGUCAUACACCCAAUGCUGAUGGUUUAUUGAAUCUCGGUCGUGGUAAUACGCAUGUUCAUAAUAUUGAUGCAAAAAGAUGCAAAGUUGAUAAUGAUAGUGCAACAUAUCGAUGGCAAUGUCGUUUAGGUCAUAUUGGUGUAAAGCGCAUGAAGAAACUCCAUGCAGAUGGACUUUUGGAACCACUUGAUUAUGAAUCAUUUGAUACUUGCGAACCGUGCCUUAUGGGCAAGAUGACUAAAACUCCGUUCUCCGGAACAAUGGAGCGAGCCAAUGACUUAUCGGAAAUAAUACAUACUGAUGUAUGCGGACCAAUGAGUGUUGAGGCUCUCGGCAGGUAUCGUUAUUUUCUGACCUUCACAGAUGAUUUGAGCAGAUAUGGGUAUAUCUACUUAAUGAAAAACAAGUCUGAAACAUUUGCAAAAGUUCAAAGAAUUUUAGAGCGAAGUGGAGAAUCAUCGUAA
rnacentral:rRNA from 1 species